UUUUUUUUUUUUUUUUUGUCUUUUCUAAGACCGCACUCCUGGCAUAUGGAGGUUCCCAGGCUAAUGGUUGAAUCGGAGCUCAAGGCUACACCGGAUCCUUAACCCACUGAGCAAGACCAGGGACCAAACCGGCAACCUCAUGGUUCCCAGUCAGAUUCGUUAACCACUGUGCCAUGACGGGAACUCCCAGGCGGCAACGUCUUAUUUUCUUAGUUUACUACUCUUAGUUCAUACCAUUUUCCCCCUACAUAUCUUCCCACAACUUUCUAGUCUUCAUCAAACCAACCGUAAAAGCACUCAGGUCUGACCCCUUCUUUGGGAUUUCAUUUCCUUAUGAAGGCUCCUGUGUCAUAUAAAAUUUAUGUUAAAUAAAUUUGUACACUUUUAUUCAUCUUACUUUUGAUACAGACUGAGAAGUUAGAAGGGCUGAGGAAAAAGAUAUUUUCCCUUUCCUAUAGUUCUAUAAAAUGUCCUAAAAAGAUAGCGAAAUGACAGCUUUGAAAUAAAAAGCUAUUUUGUAAAUAGGAGAUUGUGUCUCAGAUAAUACACAAUGCAAUAAAAAUAUUACUGCCAAAUCCCUCGUACUAAGCAGAAUUUUCAAAACCGGAAGAGUUUGAUAGGACCAAUUCAUGAGUUUGGAAGAACUAGUAUCCUUUAGGCUCUGUCAAAUAAUAUCAUUUUUAAAACGAUAAAAAUUUCCAAAUAAGAAAUGUAGACAAAACCCUGGCAUUCUUUGAUAUACUUUGAAAUUAUGCUAAUGGUGCCAAGAAGACCAGUGUUAUGAAUGUAGGUUUAAAAAACAUAAAUGUACUACAAUUUUAUCUAUAAUUGCUAAUGGUUAAAAUGUUUUGUGAUAAUUUUUAAACUUUAGAUGAGAGGACUUAGAUGAAAACUCUGCUUUUACAUUAAAAUGUUAUAUGGACAUAUGUUUUACUGACUGCUAAAAAUUAACAAAGACAACUUUUAUAUACUUGCAUGUAUUUUCCCCCCAAAGCUGUUAUUAAAUUAAUGGUACACAUCACAAUGUCAUCAGAGAUGAAAAACAAUAUCAUCGGCAUAAAAUAAUGGGAAAUUGGUAAUAUCAAAGCAUUAGGUAUAUUUAUUGCAGGAUAGUAAUUAUGUGUUAUCCUGCUUCACCUUGCCUAAUAAAACAGAUUAACCAUUACACUUUCUUAAAAAUAUUUUUAUUAUAUCUGAUUUACAAUGUUUUGUCAAUUUCUGCUCUACAUAAACAUGACCCAGUCAUACAUAUACAUAUAUUCUUUUUCUCAUAUUAUCCUCCGUCAUGUACCAUCACAAGUUACUGGAUACAGUGCCCUGUGCUACACAGCAGGAUCUCUUUGCCUAUCUACUCCAAAUUCAAUAGUUUGCAUCUACUAACCCCAAAUUCCCAUUCCAUCCCAUUCCCUCCCCUUCCCCCUUGGUAACCACAAGUCUGUACUCCAUGUCCAUGAGGUUUUUUCCUCUAUAGAUAGGUUCAUUUGUGCCAUAUAUUAGAUUCCAGAUAUAAGUGAUAUCAUAUAGUAUUUGUCUUUUUCUUUCUGACUUCACUUAGUAUGGGAAUCUAGUUGUAUCCAUUUUGCUGCAAAUGGCAUUAUUUUGUUUUUUUUUAUGACUGAAUAGCAUUCCAUUGUGUAUACAUACCAUGUCUUUUUUUUUAACCAUUAAAAAUAUUUUAGUCAUCCACAUCAGAGACCUGUUAGUAUAAGCAAAAUUAGAUGAAUGAACUCACCACUUAAUCAUAUAGCACCCCCAGUUCCCUACCAUAACUCAACAUAAAAGGGUGAUAUUAAAAGGUGGAAAGUAUAAAUAAACAACUAACUUUCCAUACAACACAGAAAGUUAUUAAAGAAUUACACUCAAAGCACCAGGCAUAAAAAUUUUCUCAGCAAAUUACUAACCACUGUUUAAUUUCGAAUAUGUAAACUCUAUUACUAAUUGUUCCAGAGCACUGAAAGAAAACUCCUUAUAAAGUAAGCAUAACACCAAUAGCUGAACCUGAUAAACAUAGUACAAAUGAAAAAAACCAAUAUACCACAUCUUCUUAAUCCAUUCAUCUGUUGAUGGACAUUUAAGUUGUUUCCAGGUCUUGGCUAUUGCGAAUAGUGCUAGAAUGAACAUAGGGAUGCAUGUAUCCUUUUCAAUGAAAGUUUUGUCCACUUAGAUGCCCAGGAGUGGGAUUGCUGGAUCAUACGGUAGUUCUAUAUUUAGUUUUCUGUGGUACUUCCAUGGUAUUUUCCAUAGUGGUUGUAUCAAUUUACAUUCCCACCAACAGUGCAGGAGGGUUCCCUUUUCUCCACACCCUCUCCAGCAUUUGUUAUUUGUAGACUUAUUAUGAUGGCUAUUCCGACUGGUGUGUGGUGAUAUCUCAUUGUAGUUUUGAUAUGCAUUUCUCUAAUAAUUAGUGAUGUUGAGCAUUUUUUCAUGUGCUGUUGGUGAUCUGUAUAUCUUCUUUGGAGAAAUGUCUAUUCAGGUCUUCUGCCAUUUUUCAAUUUAUUUUUUAUUUUUUAUUUUUGUUUUUUUGCUGUCAAGUUGUGAGAAUUGUUUGUACAUUUUGGAAAUUAAAGCCCUUGUCAGUUGCAUCUUUUUGAACUACUUUCUCCCAUUCUGUAGGUUGUCUUUUUGUGUUGUUUUAUGGUUUCCUUUAUUGCGCAAAAGCUUGUCAAUUUGAUUAGGUCACAUUGGUUUAUUUUUGUUAUUUCUAUUGCUUUGGGAGACUGACCUAAGAAAUCAUUAGUAUGGUUGAUGUUAGAGAAUGUUUUACCUACAUUAUUUUCUAGGAGUUUUAUGGUAUCUUGUCUUAUAUUUAAGUCUUUAAGCCAUUUUGAGUUUAUUUUUUUUUUGAAUGGUGUGAGGGUGUGUUCUGGUUUCAUUGAUUUACAUGCAGCUGUCCAGUUUUGCCAGUACCACUUGCUGAAGAGACUGUCUUUUUCCCAUUUUAUAUUCUUACUUCCUUUAUUGAAGAUUAAUUGACUAUAGGUGUCUGGGUUUAUUUCUAGGUUCUCUAUUCUGUUCUCACCUGUAUGUCUGUUUUUGUACCAGUACCACAAUGUCUGUGGCUCGGGUUUGAUCCCUAGCCUGAGGAACUUUUGCAUGUUGUGGGUGCAGCCAAAAAAAAAA
rnacentral:lncRNA from 1 species